ACGUACUUCUUCUCUGAUCAUUUCCAAUGUUAUCGUCUUCAUAAAGAGAGAAUAAAAUUAGAUCAUGUUGAUACGGUGUCUCUGUAAUUGAUAUUAACUAAUUAAAGCAAAGGCUGUGUCCGGGAAAGAUUUGGAUGUGAAAAGGCUGGUUCGAACACUGUCGGAGUCAGGUAUUGCAAGGUUGACCAAGGCUAGCACGAGAUGUUGAGAUCCUGGUCAACAGGUCCACAUGAAUGUGUGUACGAGACGUGUGGUUUUUAAGGUAGUUGGUGACUGUGCUCUGAGAGAGUUAGAGUUCGAGCCUCAAGAGUUGGUGAUGACAAACUAUGGGACUGACUUGAGUAAGAAAGUUUUUGCUAUCGGAGAUAAGGAGUCUGUGUUUGACUAUGUAGUUAAAUAAUAACGUCUAUUGAAGAUAUGUUAAAUAGUUCAAUUAAAGUUUUAUUAACUAUCUAAA